UUCAACCACAAAGGGAUAAAACAUAACUUAACAUGGACUAGCAAUUUCGGUUGGGGUGACCUCGGAGUACAAAAAACCCUCCGAGUGAUUUUAAUCUAGACAAACCAGUCAAAAUAACCAUAACAUCACUUAUUGAUCCAAAAUUUUGAUCAACGGAACAAGUUACCCUAGGGAUAACAGCGCAAUCCUAUUCUAGAGUUCCUAUCGACAAUAGGGUUUACGACCUCGAUGUUGGAUCAGGACACCCAAAUGGUGCAACCGCUAUUAAAGGUUCGUUUGUUCAACGAUUAAAGUCCUACGUGAUCUGAGUUCAGACCGGAGCAAUCCAGGUCGGUUUCUAUA
rnacentral:rRNA from 1 species